rnacentral:rRNA from 1 species
UACGAAGGGGGCUAGCGUUGUUCGGAAUUACUGGGCGUAAAGCGUGCGCAGGCGGCUUCUCAAGUCAGGGGUGAAAGCCCAGAGCUCAACUCUGGAAUUGCCUUUGAAACUAGAGGACUUGAGUACGGGAGAGGUGAGUGGAAUUCCGAGUGUAGAGGUGAAAUUCGUAGAUAUUCGGAAGAACACCAGUGGCGAAGGCGGCUCACUGGCCCGUUACUGACG